rnacentral:rRNA from 1 species
GUUCUACCUUGACGAAUUGUAGUUUAAAGAAGUGUUUUCUGUUAGAUGAGUAGCAAAAGUUCCUUGGAAUGGGACAUCAUAGAGGGUGAGAAUCCCGUAUUUGGUUAUUCAUUCUAGCUUUGUGAUACACUUUCAAAGAGUCGGAUUGUUUGGGAAUGCAGUCCAAAAUGGGUGGUAAAUUUCAUCUAAAGCUAAAUAUUGGCGAGAGACCGAUAGCGAACAAGUACCGUGAGGGAAAGAUGAAAAGAACUUUGAAAAGAGAGUUAAACAGUACGUGAAAUUGUCAAAAGGGAAGCGUUUGACACCAGUGUUGUUUUUCCGAAAAUCAAUUACGAAUGGCUUGAUUCUGUGUUGUAUUGACCUUAUCAGCUUUCUUCACUUUUUUCGAGUCUUUCUU